UGUUCACAAUGGUGUAAAUAUCACUGUGAGCUGGAUGAAUGUAGAGAGCUGCUAGUAGCAAUGGCUUUACCAGAGGAUGUCACCAUCAGGUGACAACUAGUGUUCAGCAGGUUGACCCACCAGGCGAAUAACUCUCUGAUGGGGAGCCCCACUUGAUCCUAGACCUUCAUGUCAGAGUGUCCAGGAAGUUGAGAGUAUGUGGGGAUUUGAGGAUUUCCUGUUGGUAAUUGGUAAAGAGUUAGCAGUGUGUUGUUACCUGGGCCUCUAAGGCCUAUGGGUCAGUUGGAGUGUCUCUGACAGGUGGAGGGUGGUGGCAUUCAUGAUUUUUAUGUUUGAUGUAUUUGUUAAAAGUACAUUUAAUUAACAUAUACAUGGUAUGUGCUGAUUUUCAGCAAAGUGGGAUACAAAGAUGUUCCUCAGUACAGAUUCCUCACUUUUGAAGACACACAAAGGUAGGCUGAAAGUGACAGGUUGGAUAAAAACUAUUCACUAGUAUGGAAAACAGAGUGGCCAGGAAAUUUUGCUUACAUUAGGAAAAUCCAGUCAAUGUCUGUACAAAUGGAACAAAGAACAGAGUCCAAUGAGCAAUGAGUGAACUCAUGAAGAGCACGACCAUUGUAAACAAAUGUUACCCAAGAUGGCUAACAUAAUCAUAUGAGGCUAUCAUGAAAGGGCCUUCAGAGAAAUAAUGACUGUUUUUCUGUCCACCACUAUAAUAAUAUUUUCAUUGGUAUUAACUCACUUGAAAACUCUUCAUAAUGUACAUAUUAGUAUGCAUAGAUUAUUAUAUUCCCACAUUGGCUCAAUAAUUAUUGUUAAAAAGGUAUCCAAUGUAACUUCUGACCCACUUUUACUCAUGGACAGUUGCCAUGCUGUCCAACCUAAGUGGAAGAUCUUGGGAUAUGAGAAUCAUAAGCACAAUUUACUGAGGGUGUCUUUGUGAGCCCUCACACCUCAGACUUCACUUAGAGAGAACCCAUCAGUGAGAGACAGUGCAGCAGUGGGAUAUUGACAUUAUCAUGGAAAUUCUAUAAACUAUUUUAAUUGAAAAUGUCACUUCCUGUAACUACUCACACAGAAGUGAGAUUGCUCGGUCACAUGGUCUCAGAAAUGUAAUUCUUUGAGGGACCUCCAAACUUUACACAGCACGGGAACACCUUCCUCUUCCUGUUCACAACACUUAUUUUCAUUAUUUCCUUUAGUAAAUGGCAUUCAUAUCAUUGGAUGGAAGGUAAUUUAUCUUUUGGGAUUUAAUUUCCAUUUGUUUGUAGAUUAGAGUGUUAGCUUUAUGCAGCCUCUUCUGCUCACGUGUAUGGGCCAAGAUGAAGGAUUCCUAUCAGAGGAUGGAGGUUAGAAAGAUGGCUGCUGACAAGGCCAUCACUUUUCACCUUCAUAUCCCCUGAGCUAUGUGUUAUCUUGAUGACUCAAAUCUCAGAUAACUGAUAGAAAUGAGUUCUACUUGAGAAGAAAAGUGAAACUGAUCUCUUGGAUGAGACAAACAGGAGUUAACAGAAGUAGUAAUGAUUCAAACAGAAUAUUUAUUAAUCAAAAUGAGGAAUGUAUUUCUGAAAUAUUAACUUUUGAAUCAAAGCCUCAUUUAUACUACAGAAAUUCUCACACUGAGUUAGCUCCCAGCACUGGAAGUGAAUAUUUCAAAUAUUUCAUUUUUAAUUAUGCGUAUAUGCUUCUGUGUAUUGCAGUGCUAAUGAAGGCCAAAGAGAGUCGCAGUCCUUUGUAUUUACAGGUGGAUAUGAGGAGACCAAUCUCUGUUCACAAAGUGCUGAAUAUCGUAGGAAGCUGGAUAAAGACGGAGGAUAUCUCAUGAAUGACAGCCAGAAAGCAAGGCAACAUAAGGACCUCUUCUCAAAAAUAACCAAGGACAUGCUCAAGAAGAGAAAUCGCAAGGACAUCUCCAUAGAUUAUUGGUACAUCUGUCAUACUUUAGAGGACCAUUCUGGUUGACUUGCAAUUACUAUAUAAUGAGGCUGAUAUUGAAUGGUGAGAGAUUCUCCCUAGUGACUGGAUUAAAGGUGUGCAGCAACAUUCCCGACCAUCACAUUCAAAUUUUUAAAAAAAUAAUUUAUUAAUUAUUGUUUUGGAAAAUAUAUUAUUUCAUGCAUUA